UACGUAGGGUGCAAGCGUUAAUCGGAAUUACUGGGCGUAAAGCGUGCGCAGGCGGCUUUGCAAGACAGAUGUGAAAUCCCCCGGGCUUAACCUGGAACUGCAUUUGUGACUGCAUGGCUAGAGUGCGGCAGGAGGGGGAUGGAAUUCCGCGUGUAGCAGUGAAAUGCGUAGAUAUGCGGAGGAACACCGAUGGCGAAGGCAAUCCCCUGGGCCUGCACUGACGCUCAUGCACGAAAGCGUGGGGAGC
rnacentral:rRNA from 1 species